GCCGCCGUAGCUCAGCUUUGGGAGAGCGCCCGGCUGAAGAAUAUAAGAAUUUAGAUACCGGGAGGUCGGGGGUUCAAAUCCCCCCGGCGGCA
rnacentral:tRNA from 1 species